AUUGAACGCUGGCGGCAGGCCUAAUACAUGCAAGUCGAAAGAGCGGCGGACGGGUGAGUAAUGUCUGGGAAACUGCCUGAUGGAGGGGGAUGAGUACUGGAAAAGGUAGCUAAUACCGCAUACCAUCAGAUGUGCCCAGAUGGGAGUAGCUGGUUGGUGGGGUAACGGCUCGUCAAGGCGACGAUCCCUAGCUGGUCUGAGAGGAAGACCAGCCACACGGGAACUGAGACACGGUCCAGACUCCUACGGGAGGCAGCAGUGGGGAAUAUUGCACAAUGGGCGCAAGCCUGAUGCAGCCAUGCCGCGUGUAUGAAGAAGGCCUUCGGGUUGUAAAGUACUUUCAGUGGGGAGGCGUUACCCGCAGAAGAAGCACCGGCUAACUCCGUGCCAGCAGCCGCGGUAAUUC
rnacentral:rRNA from 1 species